UAGCAUAUCAAUAAGCGGAGGAAAAGAAACCAACAGGGAUUACCUCAGUAACGGCGAGUGAAGCGGUAACAGCUCAAAUUUGAAAUCUGGCCCUUUUAGGGUCCGAGUUGUAAUUUGUAGAAGAUGCUUUGGGCGUGGCUCCGGUCUAAGUUCCUUGGAACAGGACGUCAUAGAGGGUGAGAAUCCCGUAUGUGACUGGUAGCUUUCGCCCGUGUAAAGCUCUUUCGACGAGUCGAGUUGUUUGGGAAUGCAGCUCAAAAUGGGUGGUAAAUUUCAUCUAAAGCUAAAUAUUGGCCAGAGACCGAUAGCGCACAAGUAGAGUGAUCGAAAGAUGAAAAGCACUUUGGAAAGAGAGUUAAACAGUACGUGAAAUUGUUGAAAGGGAAGCGCUUGCAACCAGACUCGCAGGCCGUCGAUCAUCUCAGGUUCUCCUGGGUGCACUCGGCGGUCUUCGGGCCAGCAUCGGUUUGGGUGGUGGGAUAAAGGCCUUGGGAAUGUAGCUUCUUUCGGGGAGUGUUAUAGCCCUCGGUGCAAUGCCGCCUACCCGGACCGAGGACCGCGCUUCGGCUAGGAUGCUGGCGUAAUGGUUGUAAGCGACCCGUCUUGAAACACGGACCAAGGAGUCUAACAUCUAUGCGAGUAUUUGGGUGUUAAACCCAUAUGCGUAAUGAAAGUGAACGGAGGUGAGAACCCUUAAGGGUGCAUCAUCGACCGAUCCUGAUGUCUUCGGAUGGAUUUGAGUAAGAGCAUAGCUGUUGGGACCCGAAAGAUGGUGAACUAUGCCUAAAUAGGGUGAAGCCAGAGGAAACUCUGGUGGAGGCUCGCAGCGGUUCUGACGUGCAAAUCGAUCGUCAAAUUUGGGUAUAGGGGCGAAAGACUAAUCGAACCAUCUAGUAGCUGG
rnacentral:rRNA from 1 species